rnacentral:rRNA from 1 species
GGGGAGUGACGGUCAAAUCAGCACGGCCCUUACGUCCAGGGCCUACACACGUGCUACAAUGGCCGAUACAGAGGGCAAGCUACCUGGUGACAGGAUGCAAAUCUCCAAAAGUCGGUCUCAGUUCGGAUCGGAGUCUGCAACCCGACUCCGUGAAGUUGGAUUCGCUAGUAAUCGCGCAUCAGCCAUGGCGCGGUGAAUACGUUCCCGGGCCUU